ACUAACAACAAAAGAAAUUAAAAAAAGUGGGCAUUCAUAAUAGAUACAUAGUAAGAUGAUAAUGAGCUUUUUUAAGGGAUUGAUACCUCUUAUCUCAUCUAAGGCUCCAUGGAUGAUAGUAGUGGCUUUAAUGAGCUCAUCUUGAGCUUAGAAGAAGGGAGCAACAACUGUGAGGGGCCCUCCUUAGGCUACAAGGGUGGAUAAAUGACUUUGCCUUGGACUUUG
rnacentral:lncRNA from 1 species